AGUACCGUGAGGGAAAGUUGAAAAGAACUUUGAAGAGAGAGUUCAAUAGUACGUGAAACCUCUCGGGGGUAAGCGGGCAGAACUUGCAAGUAAUGGUGAGAAUAUUCAGGCUUAAUAUUGGCAGAUGACAGUGCUUGUUUAUGUGCUCCGUUCGCGGGGUUGCUGAGUUGUGCUGUUUUACUGUUGGUGAUGCGCCGCAUUUAUUCUCAUCUACGGGUUGCAUGUGGUUGAGAGUGUAGUUUAGGUGCUGAGUAUCUGUGGAGUCUUGUUAUUUCAAGUCUUGGUUUCCAACUACCUCUGCGAUCAUUUAAUCAUGAGCAGGCGUUUAGGCGCGGUCAAUGGGUUGUACGAGUUAAGUACGUAUGAUAUGUAGACGGGUAACCGUAGCAUGUUGUACACGGCUGGCUGUCAGUAUGGCUCAAUUGGCACUGUUCUAGGAUUGCAAUC
rnacentral:rRNA from 1 species